AGGGCUGACUGCCCUGGAAAUGGUAUCUUUCUGGAGAUCUCUCCUUGGUGGAGCUUUCCCCUGUGAAUCUGGAAUCUUCUGAUACAGCAUUCCCAGCCAGCAGUCUGAGAUGCUAAAUGCCACCCACCACCCUUAUCCCAGCAGGAGCUCUGAGUCUUCAUUCUCUUUGGAAGGAGAAAUGUUAGAUGCAUGACUUGGAAGGCUGCAUGGAACAAUGUGGAGCUGAUAUGCACAUCAGCCGCAUUGCAGUUCUUUAAGAGACUUUAAGAAGGCAUUGCUGAAAGGUCCUCAAGUGUUACAAGCAUAAAUGGAAGUGAGUAUUAUGGUCAGGCUAUUAACAACAGCCAAGAAAAGGGAGGAAGAAGGAGUUCACAGAACAAGUAAUGGAAUAUUAACAUGGGAAGGAAGCAGGGCCAAAAGAAAACCAGGGAGAUUUUUGGGGAGAAGAGCCUGGACAGACCUGGCACAUAUGAAGAUUAAGGACCAGAGGGUGGAGCAGUGAGGAGCCAAGUAGCCAGCGCUGCUCAAGGCUGCUGAAAAGUUUUAUCUCCAUGAGUGUGGAACAGUCCCUAAUUGGAGGGGAGAUCUUGACGGCUGAGACUGUUUACAAUGAACUUCAAGACUGACAGCGUGUCAGUGUACUUAAUCCUUACACCCUAGGUAUGAGAGGCACCACCCUCCUAUUUUUGGAGCUGAGUGCUGAGACUGUUGAACAGCCACUCUGCAAAGGCUGUGUUGCUAUUAAAUCAUUGUCCC